UCCGUUAUGGUGUAGUGGCUAACAUUAUCGCCUCUCAUGUAUAUACACCUCCAUGUAUAUACACCUCAUUCGCAUGGCAUGCGCGAUAGCCCAGGGUUCGAUUCCCUGUAACGGAA